GAAACGCAUUAGAUUACUCAUUACUGAAAGAAUGACGUCAGUAACCCUAACCCUAACCCCAAAAACUUAAUAAAGGAUCGUUGGAGAAAUUUCCUCCUGAUCAGAUCCUGAACACGUUUGACCUGCUCAGAGCGAUCAGCAUGCCCAGGCCGCCACACCUCAGACUGAUGGAAACACUCUUCCUGCUCCCAACAGGUCUCAGCGCUCCCAGAGGAAACCGACGAACUGAGCAUCAAAACCCCGCCAUGAAGCCUUGGGUUCCUCGGUUAGCGAGCGGCUAGCGCUGUCAGCCUCUGAACAACAACAGUCUGCUUCUCUCUCUCCGACUCUCCGUCUGCUUCUGGCAGAAACACGUUGAUGCGGCGCUGCACCAAAUGCACCGUGGGCCGUCCCAGCCUUGAUGGCUACUUCCCCCCUCACACACACCCUGAACCCUGCCUGCCCGCGUGCCACUGGAUGUCAGCCGGGUCGGGUUUGUGGGAUGGAGGCUGUUCAGAGGACGUCUUCUGAGGAGAUAAGCGCAGCCUGCUGCGGAAUACAAAUGGGCUUCUUAGCAUAGCAGAGGUGAAGGGAAGCGCGAUAACGCAGAGGAGACGUGUCACUGCUGGAGGAAUGUGGGCCUGUGAUAAAUGUGCAUUCUGUUGAAAAGUGAAGGGGCUUCUUUCAUGAAACUGGCUGACAAAAGAUAUAAAUGAAGGUGUGUGGUUUUUUUUUUUUUUUUUUGGUGCCCUUUCUACAAAGAUAACCUGAACCUUCACUUCUUCCCUCUUUGUAGCUCUUUUCCUUCCUGAUGUCUUUGGUUUCCUGUCAUAUCGCUCUGAUUGCAUCAACUGCAGCACCGGCCGGAACACCAGCCUGCUGCAGUCCGUCAACAGAUUGAUGCAUUUAUUCAUCUGGAGCAGAUAAAACUGAAAAACUCAAAAUUUA